UUGCUUCAACACUACCGUAGU
rnacentral:piRNA from 1 species